UACGAGGGGGGCGAGCGUUGUUCGGAAUUAUUGGGCGUAAAGGGUGCGUAGGCGGUUUGAUAAGUCUGAUGUGAAAUCUAUGGGCUCAACCCAUAGUCUGCAUUAGAAACUGUCGGGCUUGAGUAUGGGAGAGGUGAGUGGAAUUUCCGGUGUAGCGGCGAAAUGCGCAGAUAUCAGGAAGAACACCCGUGGCUAAGGCGGCUCUCUAGUACGGUACUGACGCUGAGACGCGAAAAGCGUGGGGAGCGAACAGG
rnacentral:rRNA from 1 species